rnacentral:ncRNA from 1 species
UAGCGCUGGCUCUGCCCAUCGUGCGUGGGCAGAGGACGAGGAGAAGGUUGUCGAGACGUCAGCGGAUGCCUUCCGGAUGUGCCGGUUCGAGAGCACGCAUGGAAAGUGGGGGAGCGAUCCCCCGGACAAAGAUGC